UAAACGAUGUCGACUUGGAGGUUGUGCCCUUGAGGCGUGGCUUCCGGAGCUAACGCGUUAAGUCGACCGCCUGGGGAGUACGGCCGCAAGGUUAAAACUCAAAUGAAUUGACGGGGGCCCGCACAAGCGGUGGAGCAUGUGGUUUAAUUCGAUGCAACGCGAAGAACCUUACCUGGUCUUGACAUCCACAGAACUUUCCAGAGAUGGAUUGGUGCCUUCGGGAACUGUGAGACAGGUGCUGCAUGGCUGUCGUCAGCUCGUGUUGUGAAAUGUUGGGUUAAGUCCCGCAACGAGCGCAACCCUUAUCCUUUGUUGCCAGCGGUCCGGCCGGGAACUCAAAGGAGACUGCCAGUGAUAAACUGGAGGAAGGUGGGGAUGACGUCAAGUCAUCAUGGCCCUUACGACCAGGGCUACACACGUGCUACAAUGGCGCAUACAAAGAGAAGCGACCUCGCGAGAGCAAGCGGACCUCAUAAAGUGCGUCGUAGUCCGGAUUGGAGUCUGCAACUCGACUCCAUGAAGUCGGAAUCGCUAGUAAUCGUGGAUCAGAAUGCCACGGUGAAUACGUUCCCGGGCCUUGUACACACCGCCCGUCACACCAUGGGAGUGGGUUGCAAAAGAAGUAGGUAGCUUAACCUUCGGGAGGGCGCUUACCACUUUGUGAUUCAUGACUGGGGUGAAGUCGUAACAAGGUAACCGUAGGGGAACCUGCGGUUG
rnacentral:rRNA from 2 species